GGAGCUUGCUCCACCGAAAGAAAAAGAGUGGCGAACGGGUGAGUAACACGUGGGUAACCUGCCCAUCAGAAGGGGAUAACACUUGGAAACAGGUGCUAAUACCGUAUAACACUAUUUUCCGCAUGGAAGAAAGUUGAAAGGCGCUUUUGCGUCACUGAUGGAUGGACCCGCGGUGCAUUAGCUAGUUGGUGAGGUAACGGCUCACCAAGGCAACGAUGCAUAGCCGACCUGAGAGGGUGAUCGGCCACACUGGGACUGAGACACGGCCCAGACUCCUACGGGAGGCAGCAGUAGGGAAUCUUCGGCAAUGGACGAAAGUCUGACCGAGCAACGCCGCGUGAGUGAAGAAGGUUUUCGGAUCGUAAAACUCUGUUGUUAGAGAAGAACAAGGAUGAGAGUAAAAUGUUCAUCCCUUGACGGUAUCUAACCAGAAAGCCACGGCUAACUACGUGCCAGCAGCCGCGGUAAUACGUAGGUGGCAAGCGUUGUCCGGAUUUAUUGGGCGUAAAGCGAGCGCAGGCGGUUUCUUAAGUCUGAUGUGAAAGCCCCCGGCUCAACCGGGGAGGUCAUUGGAAACUGGGAGACUUGAGUGCAGAAGAGGAGAGUGGAAUUCCAUGUGUAGCGGUGAAAUGCGUAGAUAUAUGGAGGAACACCAGUGGCGAAGGCGGCUCUCUGGUCUGUAACUGACGCUGAGGCUCGAAAGCGUGGGGAGCGAACAGGAUUAGAUACCCUGGUAGUCCACGCCGUAAACGAUGAGUGCUAAGUGUUGGAGGGUUUCCGCCCUUCAGUGCUGCAGCAAACGCAUUAAGCACUCCGCCUGGGGAGUACGACCGCAAGGUUGAAACUCAAAGGAAUUGAC
rnacentral:rRNA from 1 species